rnacentral:lncRNA from 1 species
GCAUCUCAUUUCCUAUGAACUCAGAUGAGCUUGUUGGUCACCACACUGUUGUGGCCAGCAGGCUCCCACUUGCUGCUACCUGACCUCUUUAAAACUGGUUGGUGCCUAGCCUAACUGUCAUCAGGGGGCUUCAUCCAGCAACUGAUGGAAACAGGUGCAGAGACGCACAGCAAACAUUAGGCAGAGCUUGGAGAAUCCUGCAGAAGGAUGGUAGGAGCCAGAGGGGCCAAGGACAUCAGGAGAAAACUCACAGAAUCAACUAACCAGGAGCUCACAGAGACUGAACCGACAGCCAGGGAGCCUGCAUGGGACUGACCUAGGCCCUCUGCAUAUACGUGACAGUUGUGCGCUCUCAGGUGAGAGGGCUGUGGAGCACGUGACUUAGGAUAAUUGCUGCUUGCCACAGGUCCUCGGGGACUUUUGACUCACCUGCCUUGGCUAAACGGGAUUAAGAGGCUUGAGAAAGAGGAAGUUCUGCAACAUUCAUUCCCGGCUCUCGGUGGCAGCCCUCCAGGCCUCCCACUCACGCUGGCUGAGCAGGCGCAAGCGCCCCAGAGAGCCUCGCCUACCUCUUGCAUUGAGCCAGCUGGAGUCUGAACUCCACCAGAGGGUCCUGAGGCACCGAGGGCCUCAGCGCAGCUGUCAUUCCUUGAGGACAGAGAAGGAAAGGGACUGGAAAGUGGCAGGAUUUGGAGGCAACCAGGACUCUGGGCCUUGGGCAACACCUCUGCCCUGCAUCUCUCCGGCCUGAGCUUGCGGAACUUCUCUGCGGCCUCACACUUUCCCAGCUUAAGAGUGAGGAGGCUGGAGAAUGACUCAGAGCUUGAGAGCACUGGCUGUUCCUCCAGAGGUCCUGGGUUCAAUUCCCAGCAACCACAUGGUGGCUCACAGCCAUCUGUAAUGGGAUCUGGUGCCAAAAGGAAAAAAAAAAAAUGAGUUUGACUCUGGAGGGAAUUGGGCCCGA